rnacentral:lncRNA from 1 species
UCAAGGCUCCGAAAAUCAAGAAUAUCCAUGCGGUCCAUGAUGUCAUACAACCUUCCAGGGGUCCCAAUAAGUAGAUUAGCACCCUCAUCCUCGAUUUUCUUCAUGUCUGAUUUUACUUCAGCUCCACCAACAAGAAGAAUAGGUUUGACAUUGGAAAGCGUGGAGAUGAAUGGUUGGGCAACAUGAAAUAUUUGUGAUGACAACUCCCUCGUAGGUGAUAUAAUUAUUCCCAACACCUGGAGCAUUACUCAAGUUAAAUAUAGGUUUGACAUUGGAAAGCAUAGAGAUGAAUGGUUGGGCAACAUGAAAUAUUUGUGAUGACAACUCCCUUGU